AUAUCCGAACACUCGAGGAAAUCAUCAAAAUCCUGUUCAAGUAAUAAUAGCAGGCGAUUCCAUGAUAAAGCGUAUCAAUGGAUACAAGAUGUCGAAGUCUAACAGAAGAGUUCAAGUCUCGACCUUCCCUGAAUGUGCCACCCUAGACAUGGAUGACUAUGUUAAGCCAGUAUUAAGAAAAAAACUGACAAAUUGAUCCUACACGUCGGCAUAAAUAGCCUGAGGGGUCGUGAGAAUUCCACUCGUUGCGCAGAAGAAAUUAAAUCAUUGGGAGAAAAAAUAAAGAAAUCAAUCCCGGAGACGGAGCUAGUCGUGUCUGGCCUUGUCACACGUUCAGACGACGAAAUGCUAACACGUAAAGUCAAUGAAGUCAGCACAGCGCUGAAGGAAUCUUGUAUUCAGAAACAUUGGAAAUUCAUUGAUCACACUAACAGUACAAUUAACCACUCAAUUAAACUAGAGUAGAAUCCACCUCAACAAAAUGGGAUCAAGUAUGAUGGCACGAAAUUUUACAAACUAUAUUUACGAUAGGAAAUGUUAGGAUACGGCCAUGUGAGAGUCCGUGAGUAAUAUAAAUGCUGACGAACAAUCUAGAUUAGAUGAAGAAAUGCCAACAAAAGUGAGUGAGUUAAACGAACGAAGUUAUUCUAAUUGAAAUAGCCUACCAUAUAUAAACGUAGACAAAAUACCAUAUCAUCGUGGUAUGGUUAUGGCUUGUUGGAAUAUUAAUAGUCUCGUAUCCCAUAUUGAUAUACGAAUUACGAAUAUUUACAAAUAUUACUAAAAUAGACAUAUUAUGUAUAAACGAAACCAAGCUUGAUUCCACAAUUACCGAUCAGAAGGUCUGUCUACGAUCUACCAGGUUUUGAAAUUGUUCGAAGAGACCGACGUGUAAAGGGCCGUUAUGGCGGCGGC